rnacentral:rRNA from 1 species
UACGGAGGGUGCAAGCGUUAUCCGGAUUCACUGGGUUUAAAGGGUGCGUAGGUGGAAUGGUAAGUCAGUGGUGAAAUCUCCAAGCUUAACUUGGAACUGCCGUUGAUACUAUCAUUCCUGAAUAUCGUGGAGGUAAGCGGAAUAUGUCAUGUAGCGGUGAAAUGCUUAGAUAUGACAUAGAACACCGAUUGCGAAGGCAGCUUGCUACACGAUCAUUGACACUGAGGCACGAAAGCGUGGGGAUCAAACAGG